rnacentral:ribozyme from 1 species
GAGAGAGAAAGAAAGAAAGAGAAAGAAAGAAUGAAAGAAGGAAAGGAGGUGCUUUCUGGGGGGGGUCUUUGUCUGUGUGUGACUUUCUUUUUUCUUCUUCUUCUUCUUCUCUCUUUCGUCUCAG